AGGAGUGUAGCUCAGCUGGUAGAGCAUCGGUCUCCAAAACCGAGGGUCGUGGGUUCGAGUCCCUCCGCUCCUG
rnacentral:tRNA from 1 species